AUGGAGGGGAGUGAAGGGUCUUGGUAUGAAGCAUUAGCUGCAACCCCUUUUACCGAUGUCAUGAAUUUGGAGCCGGUAUCCCCGUCCCACAUACGGCCGCUACUGUCAUUGUCUUGGUUUGAUUCUCCGCAAUUUAGGAGGACAAGGCCAGAGUCCAUGGAGUCGUUAUCAGCUGCCAUGGCAAUCGACAAGAGUACCAAGAGUGUAAGGCACGUGAGUGUGAUUGGUAGGGUUGGGAAUGCCAUUGUUAUGGUUGGUGUACCAAGAUCAAAAAAUUGGACACUUCUGUUUGCUACAAGAUGUCUCUAG
rnacentral:rRNA from 1 species